CCAGCUGCAGAUUGUUUGAAGCAAUAUUUUUAAAGUUUUCAAAGACUGAUGUAGUGAGUCUUUUGUGAGCAGGUCAUUACACUCACAGCUCACACUGCUACUCUGAAACCUGCAUUCAUGGCCGGAGAGAGAGAGCAGGGUUUUCUGGCCAUAAAGUGCGUUUCACAAGCUCGUGAGUGCACAUCGGCCGAAGGGAGAAUGAGAAAAGUUAUUUAUCCUUUACAGGUGAAGCGGAAACAUUCUUCCUUCUAGGCUGCGGGGCUCUGUGCCGUUGAUGUCCUGACUUGCGAGCAGAGUGGGAGGUAGCUGCUAAGGUUCUCCGAGUUCUCCCGGAGUUUGUUUGUGAUCGCAGCGCAUGUCUGAGUGAGUCAGGCCUCAGAAACGCACUUCAGCAACAUUUCAGCAAUCUGCAGUGCGAAAUCACCGCAAGCGUGUGGGACGGUACAAAGGAGCUGCUGAUCCACAUCCCACUAAUUAAAUGAGUGACCAAAGGAAAAACACCCUGUGGAUGAAAGAGGUCAGGAGAGAAUGAGGAGAGCUAAAGCCAGCCGGAAGUGCAAAAAUAACAGCUCAGGCAGAACUUGUCUCCUCUGAAAGUGGUUCUGGAGCUGAUCACGAGCUGACAUUUCACCGCAUGAACCCUCACCUGGACUCCAUGGAUACCAUCAUCUGGAACCAGCUGGGAUUUUUUCAGACUAUAUGGACUUGAACUGAAUUCGAAUUUAAUACUGAACUAACUUUAGCUUAAUGUUGCUGAGUGGAUCUUAGCAUGCGGCCCCAGCAACGACUCCUUCGGACUAUUUUUAUAUCUUCACUUAUUUAAAAUGAUAAAUUAAUGAUUAAUUUUGAACUAAUGUUAAUGUGUGUACAUUUUCAUGCACCCCGGUCACCCAGAGGAGGAUGGGGUCCCCUUUUGAGCCUGGUUCUUCUCAAGGUUUCUUCCUGCUAGAGGGAGUUUUUCCUUGCCACUGUCGCCUCAGGCUUGCUUGGUGGGGGUUCGGGCCGGUUACAUGUAAAGUGCUUUGUGACAAUUUGCUGUUAAAAGCACUAUAUAAAAUAAAAAUAAAUUGAACAUGUGUACCUAAUAAAGUGGGUCCCACCUGGUACUCGUUAGGCAUAGCUAAUAAAGUGGGUUAUGCUUGGUACUAACUAUGUGUACCUAAUAAAGUGGGUCAUGCCCGGCACUAACUAUGUGUACCUAAUAAAGUGGGUCCCACCAGGCACUCGUUAGGUAUAGCUAAUAAAGUGGACCCUACCCGGUACUAAGUAUGUGUACUUAAUAAAGUGAGUCCCACCUGGUACUAGCCAUGGAUGUGUACCUAAUA